UAAAGCAUUGUUCAUAGGCUAAGUAAUUUUAAGACGCUUGAUAUCAGAGAACUUGUGGUUGGUGCGAACAAGUAAUCAGCAUUAAAAUGAAUCUACCUAUAUUUGAGAACAAUCGGUUUAACCGUUAUUUUAGUGAGAGUGCAGUCUUAAUUAGGCUGUUAAAUAGGGUGGCAACGCGUGACCACGUCCCUUGU
rnacentral:ncRNA from 1 species